GACGAACCGUGCGAACGUUAUUCGGAAUCACUGGGCUUAAAGCGCGUGUAGGCGGGCCGGCACGUCGGUCGCUGAAAUCCCCCGGCUCAACCGGGGAAGGGGCGCCGAUACGACCGGCCUGGAGGGGCGUAGGGGGAUCGGGAACUUCCGGUGGAGCGGUGAAAUGCGUUGAGAUCGGAAGGAACGCCCGUGGCGAAAGCGCGGUCCUGGACGCCAUCUGACGCUGAGACGCGAAAGCCAGGGGAGCGAACGGG
rnacentral:rRNA from 1 species